GACCGCUACGGUGACCUGGUGGUUAGAGCGUCCGCCUCGGAAGCGGGAGGUCGCGGGUUCUAUUCCCGGCUGAGUCG